rnacentral:rRNA from 1 species
GACGAACGCUGGCGGCGUGCUUAACACAUGCAAGUCGAACGAAGAGCGACGGAAGCUUGCUUCUAUCAAUCUUAGUGGCGAACGGGUGAGUAACGCGUAAUCAACCUGCCCUUCAGAGGGGGACAACAGUUGGAAACGACUGCUAAUACCGCAUACGAUCUAACCUCGGCAUCGAGGAUAGAUGAAAGGUGGCCUCUACAUGUAAGCUAUCACUGAAGGAGGGGAUUGCGUCUGAUUAGCUAGUUGGAGGGGUAACGGCCCACCAAGGCGAUGAUCAGUAGCCGGUCUGAGAGGAUGAACGGCCACAUUGGGACUGAGACACGGCCCAGACUCCUACGGGAGGCAGCAGUGGGGAAUCUUCCGCAAUGGACGAAAGUCUGACGGAGCAACGCCGCGUGAGUGAUGACGGCCUUCGGGUUGUAAAGCUCUGUUAAUCGGGACGAAAGGCCUCCUUGCGAAUAGUGAGAAGGAUUGACGGUACCGGAAUAGAAAGCCACGGCUAACUACGUG